GUCUCCUGCAGACUUGUGUUGUUUGAGACAGUGUUUCCAAAAGAAUGGGAGGCAGUUCAAAAAUGCAUUUAAAGAAUCGCAGACUGUCCGUGAGAUAAAGGUGCUGUCCUCUGAGAUUCCACAGUUAAGUGGAAUUAAAUGGGAAAUUUUUGCCUCCUAAUGGAGCACAGUGACACAUGGCCCUGAUGGGUACGACAUCAUUUCUGCUAUACUCUCUUGGUGGAAGGAGUCGAGAGCCCACCUGGAUUCAAAGGAUGGGGACAGAGACCCCACCUCUCGAUGGGAGGAGUGUCGAGUGUUUGCAGCAGCUGCUGGAACCACCCUGACUGCGGCAGCAACUGAAGCCAUUACAGCGAUCAGCCCAGGAAAGUCACUGUUGUUGGAGCUGCGAGACUCUCACUGUUUCCCUGGCAUCAGUUCCUUGGCUGGGGGCCUGCAGGAGAGAAUUCUUAUCUCGGAACCUGGAAGGGCUGAGGUUGCAAACCAGCUCCUCCCAGUAAGUGUCGCAGCCCAGCUUUUCUUUGGUGGCAGCGACUGUCCAGCCAGACCAUUUGGACAAGACUUCAGGGAGCAGGGGAGGCCCUGUCCUUGGUGAACAGGGCGGAUAUAAAGCUGUUCUGCGGCCCGCAGAGAAUUUAGUUCUCUUUUGCAGAGAAGACAGAGAAUAGAAGUCGUUUCUGUGAUUUUCCAUCUUGUAAAACAAUUGCACGAUUUUUUUGUGCUGUCUCUCUAAUAAGGCUCUUGAGGAAUGAGACCUGGGAACUUCCGGAGGAGGCUGUGAAUGUGGCUGGAGGGUAUGAAGCUGUUCUUUCACAGCGGAGUCUGUCCCACAAGAUGAGUCAGCGGGUGUCCAAAGCAAAGUUGCCCUUCCAACAUUCUGCAAGCCUGGGGCACCAAGCUGUCCGGGGGUCCUGAGCACCGGCCCUCGUCAGCAAGGCGGCCCUGUCUCUGCGGCGAGCACUGCAGCCCGCAGCGGCCAGGCAAAAUGCCAUUCGAAGAUAGUUUGGAAGAGCAGCUGGUUGAUUCUGGAAGCUUCUAUUGCCUAGUCCAGAAGGUCAACCGGUGCCUUAUUCCUGAGAAUGAGAAAUUCACCUCCUUUUCUGCCUGGAGUGGGCAGCAAGGGCUUCCUGGACUCACUCCACUCUCUCCUCCAAUCCUGACGGUGUCGUAACUCCGGUGUGCAGCUCUCAGGUAGAACACGUUGUGACGAGAGCCACGUCACUGUUGCGAAGAUGCCCACAUAGUAGUGUCAUUUCGUGAAGAUACUCCACUUUCUUUGCUGAGGUGUGAACCCAAGAUGAUGAAAUUCCUAGACCCUGGACUCAAAGUGUAAGAAAAUGCUCCCACAGGGAGUGACAGAGUUGGGUGAAGAACGUGGGAAGCAGUUCUUGGGCGGCCUUAACCGAAAGGCCGUUCUGUGUCCGUCCAAGUGCCCCAGCUCACUUGGCAGGAAGUCCUUCACAUCGUUCAGACCAUCAGAUGUUUUCCAGAGAAUUUUCUAGUUUUUAACCAUUCUUCUUCUGAAGGCGGUUGAUGGGUUUAUGACUUUGUUUGGGAUGCACCUUUCAAAAGCACGAGCAAAUUGUAUAGUUAUUAUGGCGACGAUUUUUCUUCCAGAGUUCAGCCUUGUUCCUGGAAUGCAGGAUAGAAAGUUUAAGUGCUUCUUCUAUGCUUAUAAAUAAACAAAAAUUAGGGAAACAUAGGGAAAAAAAGACCUGGGGGCUCGGGCUCAUCCCCCGCCCUGUUGAGUGGCUGGGCGGUCCUGCGCGCCCUCUCUUCUUACCUUAGGAUCGAAUGCUUUCUCCUCCUUUGAAGAAAGAUGGUAUCACCUGAACUUUUUCAAAUGUCUGAGAGUUAAAAGCUACCUCUUCAACCUGCGGUCCUUUAAAAUUUACGGAGGAACAAGCUACGUCAGGCUCGACGAGGCCGGCCCCACAUAAAGUCAAUACUUGUCUCAAAGCAAACACAGUCUUCGAAUACAAGGUCAAAGGGAAAGAAUCCCGUCCCCCCGCCUCCCCCAGCCACUCGUCUCCCUUCAAAGACGGAGCUGGUGACCUGGCUCCUUGUGCAGGUCAAAUGCGUGUCAUAGCAGACACUGGAGUUAAUAUUAAACUAAAAAUUAAUAGAUUAGAUAACUAUUACAUGCUUUUAGUGCCAAUUAAUUUAAUAGCUGUUUUUUCCCCUCCUUUUACGAGGCACGAAAAUACAGCGCAUAGUUUCCUGUGGCAAGUUCUCGGGCAGAUCUUUUGUGCUGCCAUUGCCACCGCCUGGCCGG